AGGACGAACGCUGGCGGCGUGCCUAAUGCAUGCAAGUCGAGCGACGAAUAGGUGCGGGUAACCAAGCCUAUUACGGAGCGGCGAACGGGUGAGUAACACGUGAGCGACCUGCCCCGAAGACCGGGAUAGCCCAGGGAAACUUGGAUUAAUACCGGAUAUCCUCCUUUGAUCGCAUGGUCGUUGGAAGAAAUGCUUUUACGCUUCGGGAU
rnacentral:rRNA from 1 species